UGAAGGCGGUAGAAAGAAGGAUACUUGCCAGUCUUCUGAACCUUCUACCAGUUUGUCGGUAGCUGAGCAAAUGGAGGCUAAGAGAAGACAGGAGAAAGAAGACUAUAUGACUAAAAAGUGGUUAGAGGGUGAUAAAAAAGGCUGGGAGUUCUUAGGUAAAGGUUCCAGUGAUAUUGAAUUUCCAAUCGAACCUCCACCCGAUUAUGAAGGGCUUGAAGUUUUGGGUGUAAAACUUGAUCGCCUCGAAGCAUGGGCUGAAAAGUUUUUCAAAUAGAAGGAAAAAAUGGAAAUGUUGAAACCUUUAUGACUAAGAAAUCUGAGCUUUUAUAACUGACCAGUGAUUUGGGAAUUCUUUAC